rnacentral:rRNA from 1 species
UACGUAGGGCGCAAGCGUUAUCCGGAAUUAUUGGGCGUAAAGAGCUCGUAGGCGGUUUGUCGCGUCUGCUGUGAAAAGACCGGGCUCAACUCCGGUUCUGCAGUGGGUACGGGCAGACUAGAGUGCAGUAGGGGAGACUGGAAUUCCUGGUGUAGCGGUGAAAUGCGCAGAGUAUCAGGAGGAACACCGAUGGCGAAGGCAGGUCUCUGGGCUGUGAACUGACGCUGAGGAGCGAAAGCAUGGGGAGCGAACAGG